rfam:Ovis aries breed Texel chromosome 1, whole genome shotgun sequence.
UCGCGGGUGGCUCAGAGGGUAAAGCGCCUGCCUGCAAUGUGGGAGACCUAGGUUCUAUCCCUGGGUCGGGAA